rnacentral:rRNA from 1 species
GACGAACGCUGGCGGCGUGCCUAAUACAUGCAAGUUGAGCGCUGAAGGUUGGUACUUGUACCAACUGGAUGAGCAGCGAACGGGUGAGUAACGCGUGGGGAAUCUGCCUUUGAGCGGGGGACAACAUUUGGAAACGAAUGCUAAUACCGCAUAAAAACUUUAAACACAAGUUUUAAGUUUGAAAGAUACAAUUGCAUCACUCAAAGAUGAUCCCGCGUUGUAUUAGCUAGUUGGUGAGGUAAAGGCUCACCAAGGCGAUGAUACAUAGCCGACCUGAGAGGGUGAUCGGCCACAUUGGGACUGAGACACGGCCCAAACUCCUACGGGAGGCAGCAGUAGGGAAUCUUCGGCAAUGGACGAAAGUCUGACCGAGCAACGCCGCGUGAGUGAAGAAGGUUUUCGGAUCGUAAAACUCUGUUGGUAGAGAAGAACGUUGGUGAGAGUGGAAAGCUCAUCAAGUGACGGUAACUACCCAGAAAGGGACGGCUAACUACGUG